rnacentral:rRNA from 1 species
UACGUAGGCAGUAAGCGUUGUUAGGAAGUACUGGGCGUAAAGAGUGUGUAGGCGGUGCUCUCAGUUUGGUGUGAAAUCUCCCGGCUUAACCGGGAGGGUGCGCCGAAAACUGGAGUGCUAGAGUAUGGGAGAGGUAAGCGGAAUUCCUGGUGUAGCGGUGAAAUGCGUAGAUAUCAGGAGGAACACCUGUGGUGUAGACAGCUUACUGGACCAUUACUGACGCUGAGACACGAAAGCGUGGGUAGCAAACAGG